rnacentral:rRNA from 1 species
UACAGAGGUCUCAAGCGUUGUUCGGAUUCAUUGGGCGUAAAGGGCGCGUAGGCGGUGGGGUAAGUCUGGUGUGAAAUCUCGGAGCUCAACUUCGAAAUUGCACUGGAUACUGCUCUGCUAGAGGGCUGGAGAGGAGAUCGGAAUUCACGGUGUAGCAGUGAAAUGCGUAGAUAUCGUGAGGAAGACCAGUGGCGAAGGCGGAUCUCUGGACAGCUCCUGACGCUGAGGCGCGAAAGCGUGGGGAGCAAACAGG